UACGUAGGCAGCAAGCGUUGUUCGGAAUUACUGGGCGUAAAGAGUGUGUAGGCGGUGCUCUAAGUCGGACGUGAAAUCCCUCAGCUUAACUGGGGAACUGCGUCCGAUACUGGAUGGCUUGAGUUUGGGAGAGGGAUGCGGAAUUCCAGGUGUAGCGGUGAAAUGCGUAGAUAUCUGGAGGAACACCGGUGGCGAAGGCGGCAUCCUGGACCACGACUGACGCUGAGUGAGCGAAAGCCAGGGGAGCAAACGGG
rnacentral:rRNA from 1 species